rnacentral:rRNA from 1 species
GCCUCGUGAAUUCAUCUCCGGGGGUAGAGCACUGUUUCGGCUAGGGGGCCAUCCCGGCUUACCAACCCGAUGCAAACUGCGAAUACCGGAGAAUGUUAUCACGGGAGACACACGGCGGGUGCUAACGUCCGUCGUGAAGAGGGAAACAACCCAGACCGCCAGCUAAGGUCCCAAAGUCAUGGUUAAGUGGGAAACGAUGUGGGAAGGCCCAGACAGCCAGGAUGUUGGCUUAGAAGCAGCCAUCAUUUAAAGAAAGCGUAAUAGCUCACUGGUCGAGUCGGCCUGCGCGGAAGAUGUAACGGGGCUAAACCAUGCACCGAAGCUGCGGCAGCGACGCUGAUGCGUUGUUGGGUAGGGGAGCGUUCUGUAAGCCUGCGAAGGUGGCCUGUGAGGGUUGCUGGAGGUAUCAGAAGUGCGAAUGCUGACAUAAGUAACGAUAAAGCGGGUGAAAAGCCCGCUCGCCGGAAGACCAAGGGUUCCUGUCCAACGUUAAUCGGGGCAGGGUGAGUCGACCCCUAAGGCGAGGCCGAAAGGCGUAGUCGAUGGGAAACGGGUUAAUAUUCCCGUACUUGGUGUUACUGCGAAGGGGGGACGGAGAAGGCUAUGUUGGCCGGGCGACGGUU